rnacentral:tRNA from 1 species
GCAGGAGUGGCGGAAUCGGCAGACGCAUGCGUUUAAGGGGCGCACGCCGAGAGGCAUACGGGUUCAAGUCCCGUCUUCUGCACCA